UACGUAGGGUCCGAGCGUUGUCCGGAAUUACUGGGCGUAAAGAGCUCGUAGGUGGUUUGUCGCGUUGUUCGUGAAAACUCACAGCUCAACUGUGGGCGUGCGGGCGAUACGGGCAGACUAGAGUACUGCAGGGGAGACUGGAAUUCCUGGUGUAGCGGUGGAAUGCGCAGAUAUCGGGAGGAACACCGGUGGCGAAGGCGGUUCUCUGGGCCUGUUCUGACGCUGAGGAGCGAAAGCGUGGGGAGCGAACAGG
rnacentral:rRNA from 1 species